rnacentral:rRNA from 1 species
GAUGAACGCUGGCGGCGUGCUUAACACAUGCAAGUCGAACGGAAAGGCUCCUGCUUGCAGGGGUACUCGAGUGGCGAACGGGUGAGUAACACGUGGGUGAUCUGCCCUGCACUUCGGGAUAAGCCUGGGAAACUGGGUCUAAUACCGGAUAGGACGAUGGUUUGGAUGCCAUUGUGGAAAGUUUUUCGGUGUGGGAUGAGCUCGCGGCCUAUCAGCUUGUUGGUGGGGUAAUGGCCUACCAAGGCGUCGACGGGUAGCCGGCCUGAGAGGGUGGACGGCCACCUGGGGCCUACGGGAGGCCCCAGUCUCGAACGGGAGGCAGCGGGGGGGAGGAUGGCAGAACGGGGGCACGCGUGAGACGGCGGCCCUGGGGGGGGGAAACCGGCUUUGGGGUGGAAAACGCCUUUGGAAGGGAACGAGGCGAAAGGGACGGUACCGGGAGAGAAAGCCCCGGCUAACUACGUG